AUGUCUGUAUUACAGUGCUUGCAAGAGCCUAAGAAAAGAGCACGAAACUUGGAGGGUGGAUCAUCUGUCUCCUGUCCACAGCUAUGCUGCUAUGACGUGGCCAUGGACAAGUCAUUUCACCUUUCUGAGACUUUCUUCUCAUUGACCUGUCCUACCUACGAGGGUAACGGCAGGAGCAGAGCGGAGCUGGCCUGGCGUGCUGCUGCGGGAGCCUCUUCUCCUCUAGAUGGCACCGGCUGCCUGCUUGCGGAAACGCCUCGCUUGGACGUCAGCUGCCCAAAGGGUUUGUAAUGUCCUGUGCUCCUGUUAGCAACAUCCUAGUAACGAUCCAUGUAGGCACCCCUGUGCCAAAAUGCCUUGUCUAGGUGGGCCACCGCUACAAGAG
rnacentral:lncRNA from 1 species